UACGUAGGGUGCGAGCGUUAAUCGGAAUUACUGGGCGUAAAGCGUGCGCAGGCGGUGAUGUAAGUCCGAUGUGAAAUCCCCGGGCUUAACCUGGGAACUGCAUUGGAGACUGCAUUGCUGGAGUAUGGCAGAGGGGGGUGGAAUUCCACGUGUAGCAGUGAAAUGCGUAGAGAUGUGGAGGAACACCGAUGGCGAAGGCAGCCCCCUGGGCCAAUACUGACACUCAUGCACGAAAGCGUGGGGAGCAAACAGG
rnacentral:rRNA from 1 species